AAGAAGAUCGUCACUCCCCGCAAACGGACAAUCGACCGAGAAUCCUCCCGUCAUAGUCGAAGCCCUGGACUGUAGCUCUCCUUUCUUUGAAUCCGUUCUUAGGGCUACGAUUGAAGUAUUCAGAUUUCAGAAAUCAUAUCUAAUCGUUCAUUCCAUGUUUCGCUACCUCCUCUGCAAUCUCCCAGAACUGCCUUGUCGCCGCCGUUGUCGUUGUUACCGUUGCUUUUAGCCAAUACAAUUUUCGUCGAUGGACUUAUCACAGCCACAACCGAACCUCUCUUUGGGAUUUCUGACGCAUACAUCACCGCCACACAGGACGCAAAUCGCAGAUGAUUCAAUUUCUCUCCAGCUUGAAUCCAGUUUCCGCGACCCGAACCACCCGGUCCCGACCGUUCCACUACAGUUACUCGAGCCGAUGACUGGGAAUCACUAUGAAUUACCUGAAAACGGGAACCUGGAUGGGCAAAACGACAAUAAGGAUAACGACGACGGAGAUGGCGAGGAAGACAGAGAUGUGGAGGAAUUCCGCAUCUUAGGCCACUCUAUGUGUCUGAAACGACGCCGUGGCAGCGAACCGCCACAAUCCUCCUCGAAGAGGGGAAUGGUCGCACCACCUGAUCUUGAAGCACGGAAUGCUAUGGUCCGGUCAUGGAUGAAUCCACCGCUUUCUGUCGCUGAUCCUGUCGUAUUUGAGAUCAUGGAGAAGGAGAAGAAACGACAGUUUAGGGGAAUUGAGCUGAUAGCGUCCGAGAAUUUCGUUUGCCGUGCAGUGAUGGAAGCCCUUGGAAGUCACUUGACCAAUAAGUACUCGGAGGGGAUGCCCGGAGCGAGAUACUAUGGAGGGAAUCAGUAUAUAGACGAAAUUGAGACCCUUUGUUGUGAGCGCGCAUUGGCUGCCUUUGGUCUUGACUCGGAGAAUUGGGGGGUCAAUGUGCAGCCAUAUUCAUGUACCUCAGCUAAUUUCGCGGUGUAUACUGGCUUGCUGUUACCCGGUGAUAGAAUUAUGGGGUUGGAUACUCCAUCUGGAGGGAACACUAGUCACGGGUAUUAUCUGCCGAAUGGGAGGAAAGUGUCUGGGGCUUCAAUCUUCUUUGAGAGUUUUUCAUAUAAGGUGAACCCACACUCUGGUUAUGUUGAUUUUGAUAAGCUGGAGGAGAGAGCGAUGGAUUUUAGACCGAAGAUACUUAUUUGUGGAGGGAGUUCAUACCCAAGGGAGUGGGAUUAUGCAAGGUUUAGGCAAAUUGCUGAUAAGUGCGGUGCAGUUCUCAUGUGUGAUAUGGCUCAGAUUAGUGGGCUUGUUGCUGCAAAGGAAUGUCUAAACCCCUUUGAAUAUUGUGACAUUGUUACCUCGACAACUCAUAAAAGUCUUCGAGGCCCGAGGGGAGGUAUUAUUUUCUUUAGGAAGGGGCUAAAGCCAAGGAAGAGAGGAAUGCUAUUGAGCCAAGGUGAUGGGAGUGAUCAGUACGAUUUUGAGGAAAAGAUUAACUUUGCUGUUUUUCCAUCAUUACAAGGUGGACCACACAAUAACCAUACUGCUGCUCUUGCUAUUGCCCUUAAGCAUGUGGCUACGCCUGAGUACAAGACAUAUAUGCAACAGGUGAAGAAAAAUGCACAGGCUUUAGCAUCUGCAUUAUUGAGAAGGAAAUGCAGGCUGGUUACUGGAGGCACAGAUAAUCAUUUGCUACUCUGGGAUCUAAGGCCACUGGGAUUAACAGGUAAAACUUAUGAGAAGAUAUGUGAGAUGUGCCACAUUACGCUCAACAAAAUUGCUAUUUUUGACGACAAUGGCACUAUAACUCCUGGAGGAGUAAGGAUUGGUACUCCUGCAAUGACAUCAAGGGGUUGCCUAGAGUCUGAUUUUGAGACAAUGGCUGACUUUCUCCUCAGAGCUGCACAUCUUGCAAGUGUGGUGCAGCGAGAAUAUGGAAAGUUACAGAAAACUUGCUUGAAGGAUCUUGAAAACAACAAGGAUGUUUUAGAGCUUCGAGCUCGGGUUGAAACUUUUGCAACUCAGUUUGUAAUGCCAGGUUUUGACGUUUGAGUUGGUGUGAAAUAUGCAAUUUGAAGGAUUUCCAUCUCGUAUCUCAUCUUGACCUCUGUACAUGGCAGCGACUUUGAUGUCAUAUCCACUUUCUUUAUGUCAUGUGUUGGCUGGCUUGGCCCUUUUCACAUUUAUUUUGGUUACAAUCUUUGCUGUUGCCUACCCUAUUUGAAAGUAUUGCCUGCGACAGUACGAAGGAUGAGGAUUUUGGUGAUGAACCUCUCCUGCUAUUUCGGCAUACCAUCGGCAGAAGGCAGAAGCCUUCUGGAAAAUGUGCUUUGUAUACUUCCCCAACAGCAUUGCAGGAACCUAGGAUGAUCUCCUGUUCGGAUUAAAAGUAGCAUUGGCAAGUCUCUUGGAACAAUAUGCUUUAUGGGUUCUGUAGCCAUUUAGAUGCACUCUGCUGUAGAAUAGGUAAGAGGAUGGAUUGAAGUAAAACUUUAGUUAACCACCAUCUCUUACCUUUUCUGGGUUAAUCCUUCAUUUCACCUUCAAUAAUGUAAGUGAGGUAAGUUCUUGUCUCAAGGUCUCUGAUUUCUCCUCUGGUUACCAUGUACGAGUUGAGUGUGCUACUGCUGCCAUGUGUCUGACUAUGGAUCUCAAGGUUGUAAGUGCCAGUUUUGUGUUGUGCAUCUAUCUUUAGGGCCGAUGCUUUUUUUAGUUGUUACACAUACGUACCACUGCACAACUGCGAACAUUGCUUGUAAUUCUUCUCAUGCAUGUAUUGCUACUCUCAGUUCAUCAUUAAAACAAUGCAUUAGGUACACUCCACUUUUUCUUUUUGGUUUUUUUUAGAUGUGGAGAGUAGACUUUACC